rnacentral:rRNA from 1 species
CAGCCGUAAACAAUGUGCGUUAGGUGUGUCGGUAACCACGCGUUACUGAUGCGCCGAAGAGAAAUCGUGAAACGCACCACCUGGGAAGUACGGUCGCAAGGCUGAAACUUAAAGGAAUUGGCGGGGGAGCACCGCAACGGGAGGAGCGUGCGGUUUAAUUGGAUUCAACACCGUAAAACUCACCAGGGAAGACUGUUACAUGAAGGCCGAGAUGAAGACUCUGCUAGAUUUUCAGAGAGGUGGUGCAUGGCGUCAGUGACU